AACGAACGCUGGCGGCAGGCCUAACACAUGCAAGUCGAGCGAGGACUUCGGUCCUAGCGGCGGACGGGUGAGUAACGCGUGGGAACGUGCCCUUUGCUUCGGAAUAGCCCUGGGAAACUGGGAGUAAUACCGGAUGAGCCCUUUGGGGGAAAGAUUUAUCGGCGAAGGAUCGGCCCGGGUUGGUUUAGGUGGUUGGUGGGGUAAUGGCCUACCAAGCCGACGAUCAAUAGCUGGUUUGAGAGGAUGAUCAGCCACACUGGGACUGGGACACGGCCCAGACUCCUACGGGAGGCAGCAGUGGGGAAUCUUAGACAAUGGGGGAAACCCUGAUCUAGCCAUGCCGCGUGAGCGUUGAAGGCCUUAGGGUUGUAAAGCUCUUUCAGCUGGGAAGAUAAUGACGGUACCAGCAGAAGAAGCCCCGGCUAACUCCGUG
rnacentral:rRNA from 1 species